rnacentral:rRNA from 1 species
AAAUUUUAAUAUAAAUUUAGAUGUUAUUCUGCAGGGGUACAGCUCUACAGAAUAAGAAUACAAUCUUGAUUAGAGAAUAAAUUUACUUAAUAACCCUGGUUGGCCUAAAAGCAGCCAUCAAUCGAGAAAGCGUUCAAGCUCAACAAUAAAAUUUAACUUAAUUUUAAAAACUUAUUUAGUUCCUAAAACAAAUACUGGAUUAUUCUACAAAUUCGUAGAAGAAAUACUGUUAAUAUGAGUAACAAGAUUCUUAUCUCCAAUCACAAGUGUGUAUCAGCCCGAAUACCUACUGAUAAUUAACAAUAAAUUAAAAUUUAAUCCCCUUAUGAAUACUUUUACCUAUUAUUGUCAACCCAACACCGGCGUGUAUAUCAGGAAAGAUUAAAAAAAGUAAAAGGAACUCGGCAAACAAAAACCCCGCCUGUUUACCAAAAACAUCACCUCUAGCAUAACUAGUAUUAGAGGCACUGCCUGCCCAGUGACAUUAGUUUAACGGCCGCGGUAUCCUGACCGUGCAAAGGUAGCAUAAUCAUUUGUUCCUUAAUUAGGGACUUGUAUGAAUGGCCUCACGAGGGUUUGACUGUCUCUUACUUUUAAUCAGUGAAAUUGACCUUCCCGUGAAGAGGCGGGAAUAAAAUAAUAAGACGAGAAGACCCUAUGGAGCUUAAAUUAAUUUAUCCAACAUAAUUAAUUCUGAAAUCCAACAGGAAUAACAUAAAUUUAACUGGAUAAUAAAUUUUGGUUGGGGUGACCUCGGAGUAUAAACAAGCCUCCGAGAAAUUCAACUGAGACUAAUUCGUCAAAGUAAUUAAAUUUAUUGAUCCAAUCAUAUUGAUCAACGGACUAAGUUACCCUAGGGAUAACAGCGCAAUCCUAUUUAAGAGUUCAUAUCGACAAUAGGGUUUACGACCUCGAUGUUGGAUCAGGACAUCCUAAUGGUGCAGCAGCUAUUAAAGGUUCGUUU